rnacentral:rRNA from 1 species
AACGAACGCUGGCGGCAUGCCUAACACAUGCAAGUCGAACGAGACCUUCGGGUCUAGUGGCGCACGGGUGCGUAAAGCGUGGGAACCUGCCCUUAGGUUCGGAAUAACUCCCCGAAAGGGGUGCUAAUACCGGAUAAUGUCUUCGGACCAAAGAUUUAUCGCCCUUGGAUGGGCCCGCGUUGGAUUAGCUAGUUGGUAGGGUAAAAGCCUACCAAGGCGACGAUCCAUAGCUGGUCUGAGAGGAUGAUCAGCCACACUGGGACUGAGACACGGCCCAGACUCCUACGGGAGGCAGCAGUGGGGAACAUUGGACAAGGGGCGAAGGCGUGAUCCAGCAAUGCCGCGUGAGAGAUGAAGGCCUUAGGGUUGUAAAGCUCUUUUACCCGGGAUGAUAAUGACAGUACCGGGAGAAUAAGCUCCGGCUAACUCCGUG